GGGGAAUCUCUGGGCAGGGGUGAAUGUGGGGGAAGUGCCAGCAGGGGAGACACACCAAUCCAUCGCUGCAGUCUCGCCCAGGUGGGGCGGCGCUGCGGCCGACAGCCGGUCCAGCUGGCCCGCCCCCGCCGCCCCCGCUCCUGGCAGCCUGUUAAAGCUUCAGCUCGUUGGCUAUUUUGGAGGCAAUGUUUUUGAAGGCCAUGGAGGUGCCCGAUAUCCGCUUAAAUCGAACCCCGUUGAGAGAGAGCCGCGGCAGUUUGCACACCUCCAUCUCCCACUGCACGAAGUCCUCGUGGCCCGGCGUGCCGUGCAUGCACAGCAGCAUGUACUUCUCAUGCAGCUCGCUCUGGCAGCUGUUCGCGUCCAGCACCUUGCGGAUCUCCCGCAUCAUCUCGUUGGGCUCCAUGGAGCUCGUGGUCUUCAUACUCCACGUGAAGCGGAGGGAGCGGGGCUUGGCCUCCCGAAAUUCUUCCUUUUCUUUGUCGUUGCCGCCACUGCCCACCACGUGAGGUCUGUG
rnacentral:lncRNA from 1 species